UACGGAGGGGGCUAGCGUUGUUCGGAAUUACUGGGCGUAAAGCGCACGUAGGCGGCUUUGUAAGUUAGAGGUGAAAGCCCGGGGCUCAACUCCGGAAUUGCCUUUAAGACUGCAUCGCUAGAAUUGUGGAGAGGUAAGUGGAAUUCCGAGUGUAGAGGUGAAAUUCGUAGAUAUUCGGAAGAACACCAGUGGCGAAGGCGACUAACUGGACAAGUACUGACGCUGAGGUACGAAAGCGUGGGGAGCAAACAGGG
rnacentral:rRNA from 1 species